rnacentral:rRNA from 1 species
AUUGAACGCUGGCGGCAGGCCUAACACAUGCAAGUCGAGCGGUAGCACAGAGAGCUUGCUCUCGGGUGACGAGCGGCGGACGGGUGAGUAAUGUCUGGGAAACUGCCUGAUGGAGGGGGAUAACUACUGGAAACGGUAGCUAAUACCGCAUAAUGUCGCAAGACCAAAGUGGGGGACCUUCGGGCCUCAUGCCAUCAGAUGUGCCCAGAUGGGAUUAGCUAGUAGGUGGGGUAACGGCUCACCUAGGCGACGAUCCCUAGCUGGUCUGAGAGGAUGACCAGCCACACUGGAACUGAGACACGGUCCAGACUCCUACGGGAGGCAGCAGUGGGGGAUAUUGCACAAUGGGCGCAAGCCUGAUGCAGCCAUGCCGCGUGUGUGAAGAAGGCCUUCGGGUUGUAAAGCACUUUCAGCGGGGAGGAAGGCGGUGAGGUUAAUAACCUCAUCGAUUGACGUUACCCGCAGAAGAAGCACCGGCUAACUCCGUGCCAGCAGCCGCGGUAAUACGGAGGGUGCAAGCGUUAAUCGGAAUUACUGGGCGUAAAGCGCACGCAGGCGGUCUGUCAAGUCGGAUGUGAAAUCCCCGGGCUCAACCUGGGAACUGCAUUCGAAACUGGCAGGCUAGAGUCUUGUAGAGGGGGGUAGAAUUCCAGGUGUAGCGGUGAAAUGCGUAGAGAUCUGGAGGAAUACCGGUGGCGAAGGCGGCCCCCUGGACAAAGACUGACGCUCAGGUGCGAAAGCGUGGGGAGCAAACAGGAUUAGAUACCCUGGUAGUCCACGCCGUAAACGAUGUCGAUUUGGAGGUUGUGCCCUUGAGGCGUGGCUUCCGGAGCUAACGCGUUAAAUCGACCGCCUGGGGAGUACGGCCGCAAGGUUAAAACUCAAAUGAAUUGACGGGGGCCCGCACAAGCGGUGGAGCAUGUGGUUUAAUUCGAUGCAACGCGAAGAACCUUACCUGGUCUUGACAUCCACAGAACUUUCCAGAGAUGGAUUGGUGCCUUCGGGAACUGUGAGACAGGUGCUGCAUGGCUGUCGUCAGCUCGUGUUGUGAAAUGUUGGGUUAAGUCCCGCAACGAGCGCAACCCUUAUCCUUUGUUGCCAGCGGUUAGGCCGGGAACUCAAAGGAGACUGCCAGUGAUAAACUGGAGGAAGGUGGGGAUGACGUCAAGUCAUCAUGGCCCUUACGACCAGGGCUACACACGUGCUACAAUGGCAUAUACAAAGAGAAGCGACCUCGCGAGAGCAAGCGGACCUCAUAAAGUAUGUCGUAGUCCGGAUUGGAGUCUGCAACUCGACUCCAUGAAGUCGGAAUCGCUAGUAAUCGUAGAUCAGAAUGCUACGGUGAAUACGUUCCCGGGCCU